rnacentral:lncRNA from 1 species
GGGGGCCGGGUCGGGCGCCCGAGGUCCUGGGCCGGGGUUCCGCGGGUUCUUCGCCCCCGGGCCUUUCAGUGGCGCGGGCCGAGUGGCCAUGGCGCUCGGGUGCGCGCAGUGCACGCGGUGAGCUGGAGACGCAGGCAUUGCGCGGCCCACCGGCUGAGCCCGCUCUCCCUGCGAGGGGGGCGCAGCUCGGUGGAGAGGGUGGCCCGGAGGACCGGGAACCGGGCUGGAGGCGCGCGGGGCUCACACCGCGGGGUCCGCGGGGAGCCGGGCCUCGGGCUGCAGGUGCAGGCUUGUGGCGGUGAGGCGACUGGAGCGGCACGGGAGCCCGCCCGUUUCGGGGAGAGCCCGGGGCGAUCGCGGGGGGAGGCCGGCCUGGCGUCCGGGAGCCCGGCGUGCUAGGGCCCGGUAGGCGGGGCGGGCCUCGCACUCGGUUGCUCGCUGCGGCGCCGGAGGAACGGGUCUAUGGGGGUGUGGGUGAGGCCAGAAGCCGGGUCGAAGAGGGGGAGGGGGUGCGAAGAGAUGGCGGUGUGUAGACAGGUGACCCGGUGGGUCGGUGACGCAGGAGGAGACUGCGCUUGGUGGCGGGAUCACUUAGUUGACAACAUCUAAAAAUUAGGAGGUGCGGCAGGGCGCGGUGGCUCACGCCUGUAAUCCUAGAACUUUGGGAGGUCGUGGCGGGUGGACUACCUGAGGUGAGGAGUUCGAGACCAGCCUGGCUAACCUGGUGAAACCCCGUCUCUAUUAAAAAUACGAAGCAAUGAGCUGGGCGUGGUGGCGGGCGCCUGUAAUCCCAGCUACUCGGGAGGCUGAGGCAGGAGAAUCACUUAAACCUGGGAGGCGGAGGUUGCAGUGAGCCGGGAUUGCGCCAUUGCACUCCAGCCUGGGUGACAGAGUGAGACUCUCUCAAAAAAAAAAAAAAAAAAAAAAAAAAAAAAAAAAAAAAAAAGGGAGGUGCUCAGUCAAGCCUCUGAGAGGAGUGGGGGGCGGGGCGAGGAGUCUCUUGCUCAGAGCCCCCUAGGGACUGGGACCCGUUGACUCUGAGCUGCUUUUGAGGCUGGAUCAGGUACCAGCGGCCUGGGGGUCGUACAGGAUGGGAGAGGCCGGGGCUUGGGAUGUUGCCAGAUCUACGUUGAAAAGUGAAGCAGGAAGAGAGGCACUGAGGCUGGGCACAUGGGGAAAACCGUGGAGAGCCGGCCUUUGGGGACUAGAAGAGUGGGAACAAUGGUUGACAAAUGGUGAGUGUGGUGUAGAACAGCAGUAACACAAUACCAGGAUCCACAGAGUGGCCAGGGCCAGAGUGGGGAGAAGGAACAGGACUCUGCAGAUGGGGAGGGUAAGGGGCUGGGUGGCGUGAAGGGUGGUUGCAGAAUUUGGGGAGGGCAGCUAGCCUGUGACCCAGGUUCCAAGGGCACUGAGGUCUGGGCCAGGCCGCUUGGAGGCACCAGAGCCUCAGAGGAGGGGUGGGGUAGAGGAACGGAUCCAGCAUGGUGUCCCCCUUGGCCACCAGAGGGAGUUUUCUAAAUUUGAGCAUGGCUCAUCGCUGCUUGAAAUUCUACGUCACAGUGUGGCCUGCAUUGAGGAGGGCCCACACCUGUCGCUACCUCAGACUCACCUGCCACCUGCCUCAAGUGCAUGAGAGAGAACAGGAAACCAGAAAUUGUCAGGAUCGAGGAUUAUGGGAAAAGAGUAAAAGCCUAGCUGUCAGAUCUGAGGUUCCACCAAGGAGCACUGAUGGGUGCUUCUCAUUAGGAAGGCGGUGCGGUGGCUCACACCUGUAAUCCCAGUACUUUGGGACGCCGAGGUGAGUGGAUCACCUGAGGCCAGGAGUUCGAGACCAGCCUGGCCAACAUGGUGAAACGUCAUCUCUAUUAGAAAUACAAACAUUAGCUGGGCGUGGUGAUGGGUGCUUGUAAUUCCAGCUAUUCAGGAAACCAAGGCAGGAGAAUAACUUGAAUCCACGAGGCAGAGGUUGCAGUGAGCCGAGAUUGCUCCACUGCACUCCAGCCUGGGCAACAGAGCAAAAACUGCAUCUCAAAAAAAUAAAAACAAAAAAACAGAGGGGACACCAGUUCCCAGCACUCCAGGCCUAACUUCAUAGCACUCACAUCAUGUCAAGUGAGUAACCAAAAAUCAGUGUACAUAUGUACACAGCUAUACAUAUCUCACACUAAGUUUUCUGUAAGAGUUCUUUUUAUUGCAGAGACACUGCUUUUUUUCUGGUUUAUGAAAUACAGUGAACAUUUAUGGACACAAAGCUGAGGUGACAGGGUGGGGAGGGGGGCCUUGGAACAGCACCAAGAAUCCUGGUUGAACCCUCCAAGUGAAAAGAUCCUGCCACGACAUACGUGAACCAGGUGUGACACGUGAGCACGUCUCACCUGAUCCGGCCUAUGGUGGGGAGAAGCAAUUGAGGAAGGCCUUCUGGGCAGGAGGAAGUUGUUGCUGAGGCUGCCGAGCAGGAUGUGUUGGGCCUGUGACUUAGGCAGAAAGGGCGCUCAGGCCCACAUGCUCAGAUGUGAGGACCUGCUUGCUGUGUUCAGGGAGCCACAAGUCACCUGGUCUUAGGGAAAGGUGAGGGGACUGGAGAGUUCUGAGGACCUUGAGGUAGAUUGGCACUGCCAGGCAUGUAGGCUGGCUUUAGCUCACUGAUACGCCUUGUUCAGCCCAGAGAGGUUUUCUUUUUUUAAUUGAUUAGUUGAUUUAAGAAACAUUUAGAUUUGGGAUGAGCUGUUUUGGAUGUUUAUCCUCAAUGAAACUCAUGUUCAAACUUAAUCUCCAAUGUGGCAGUACUGAGAGGUGGGGCCUCUAAGCGUGGUUGGGAUUAACCUGUCGAUGGAUUCAUGGAUUAAAGGGUUAUCACCGGAGUGGGACUGGUGACUUCAUUAGAAGAGGAAGGAAGACCUGAGCUGGCCUGUGAAUAUGCUCCGCCCCCUGGCCAUGUGACACCUGCGCCACCCUCAGGACUCUGCAGAGUCCCCAGCAGCAAGAAGGCCCUCACCAGGUGCAGCCCCUCAACCUUGGACUUCUCAGCCCCCAGGGCUGUAACAAAUAAAUUCUUUUUUAAAGUAAAUUACCCAGUUUCAGGUAUUCUGUUAUAAGCAACAGAAUAAGAAACAGACUAAGACAAGAGCACAGCGGGGUGGAGGAGCUAGGGGUGCCUGGGGCAUUGGGGACCUGUCCGGAGGCCAGCUGUGUAUGCAGCCACAGUGCCAACGGGUUUCUGUGAUCCUGAUAUCCCCCACCCUUGACUGGCCUGGAUUCCAAUCCGACUCUUGUCAGCUGUGCUCCUCUGGGCAAGGGAUUCACUUCUGUCUGCCUUGGUUCUGUAGGAAGUGGCAUGGAGAAGGACAGAAGCA